ensembl:lncRNA
CUCUGUCUUAGGAAAUAAAUUGCGUUCCAUCGUUUUAUCACAAUAAUGUUUCAACUUUGCAGUUUCAUCGAUAAAUACGUAAUAGUAUCGAAUCACCGAAACCUGUCAGUUUUUCUUCUGUAAAAGGUGGCCACAGUCAUUCUCUCAGAGGCCUCAGUUGAACUGGACAGCCAUUAGUGUAUGGGCUACUAUCUUUUCCAAAUGCAUCCUGGAACAAUAAUCCUGGAGAGUAGAAGUCUUUUACUGACAAAGUUUAUCUCGUCAUAUAGCUAAAACAAAAUACUCCCGAUGCUGCUUGUCAUUUCAAAACAGCCCCCAUGAUAACCUUUACAUUAGAGUUCAACUGGUCCUCCACUAUCUCUCUCUCUCUCUCUCUCUCUCUCUCUCUCUCUCUCUAUCUAUCUAUCUAUCUAUCCAGAGAGAUUCAUAGAAACUCAAGCAAUGCAUGACGCUGUCAAAUGCUGCAACAGCAAAAACUGCAAUCAUUGACCCGCGAACAGAACUGCACAACCUCUUCUUUAUUAGAUAGCCUACAAGAGGAUCAAGACGAAGUGAACACCUGGUUUCAGAGGCAGAAUGUAAGAGUCAUAUUAUCCUAUUUGCAGAGCUGGGUAGAUUAUAAAUUGUAACUCGUUACCGAUUCCAAAUUGGAUGACAAAAUUGUAGUUAGUAGCGUAAUCCAUUACAUUACACAUUUUAAGUAAUAUAAUCAGACUACGCUUUGAUUACUUUUAGAUUACUUUUGGCCUAACUCGUUUAUCACACCGUAUUAACUAGGUUAAUCGUGUGCCAUUUUGAUAUAAAAAUACAAAGAGUAAGAAAAUAUAUUCCAUUCGUUGUAAUUAACAACAUGAAGUGCAUUAAACAUCACAUUACUUCAAUGUUUCUCAAAAUGGGGUUCCUAAAGGAACUGCAGGGGAUUCGUGAAUUUAAUUAAAAACUUAUACUUAAUUAAAUCAUAAAAAGUAUGCUAAAAUUAAAAUGAAUAAUUUUAAAGUAACAUCAAGGAAAAUAAAACACCUACUAAAAAAAAACUAUAUUUUAUU